rnacentral:tRNA from 1 species
CCCGCGGUAGCUCAGCGGUAGAGCGCUCGGCUGUAGACCGAGUGGUCCGGGGUUCGAAUCCCCGCCGCGGGACCA